GUCUUCAAGGGUUUGGAUAACUUUCAGCCUUUGUUUGAAUCUCAUUUGUUCGAUCAAAUCUGCUCGGAUACUUCCAAAUUUCUCAUAGGAAGAUCUGAUCAAUCUGAAGAUAUCCACCUCGGGAUAAGGCUCUACAUCAUCACUGAGCAGUGAGUGAAGGUGAGGAAUGGGUGGAAGAGUGCUGUCCUUAUUAGUGACACUGUCCAAAUACCUGGUGAGAAAGA
rnacentral:lncRNA from 1 species